GAUGAACGCUGGCGGCGUGCCUAAUACAUGCAAGUCGAGCGAACGGACGAGAAGCUUGCUUCUCUGAUGUUAGCGGCGGACGGGUGAGUAACACGUGGAUAACCUACCUAUAAGACUGGGAUAACUUCGGGAAACCGGAGCUAAUACCGGAUAAUAUUUUGAACCGCAUUGUUCAAAAGUGAAAUACGGUCUUGCUGUCACUUAUAGAUGGAUCCGCGCUGCAUUAGCUAGUUGGUAAGGUAACGGCUUACCAAGGCAACGAUGCAUAGCCGACCUGAGAGGGUGAUCGGCCAGCUGGGAAGUGAGAAACGGUCCAGACUCCGACGGGAGGCAGCAGUAGGGAAUCUUACGCAAUGGGGGAAAGCCUGACGGAGCAACGCCGGGUGAGUGAUGAAGGUCUUCGGAUCGUAAAACCCUGUUAUUAGGGAAGAACAUAUGUGUAAGUAACUGUGCACAUCUUGACGGUACCUAAUCAGAAAGCCACGGCUAACUACGUG
rnacentral:rRNA from 1 species